rnacentral:lncRNA from 1 species
GGAAAUGAAGGGAACGAGAAACAAUAGCCAUCAUGACGUUCUUAGUCUACGUGACGAUCUGUGAGGAUGACAACCUUCCUCAACAAAGAAAGGGAAAGUGAUUUGCUUGGGAAAUCCAUUAGCUCUUGCCUUUCGAUGCGACGUAUAUGCUCGAAUCAGGUGGUCUUGAUUAUUGUGCUUCGCUAAUCGAUAACAGAACUUUGAUUAGAUCACACGAUCUUCUUAGCUCUCAAGGAGCGUCUUUUCCUUGAGAAGCUUUGUUUUUGUUUUGUUGGGUGCAGACACUGACAUCUUGGAUGUCGAUGACACCUGCAACCCAAUUAGAGCUUGGAAACCUGCAGUCAUCCAUCAUCCUCAACCUCCAGUUUCAUGCGCUUUGUUUUCUGAGACGCAGUCAUCGGUUUGCACAAAGAACCCUUCGUUUGACCCGUACACG